rnacentral:rRNA from 1 species
UACGGAGGGUGCAAGCGUUAUCCGGAAUUAUUGGGCGUAAAGAGCUCGUAGGCGGUUUGUCGCGUCUGCUGUGAAAACUGGGGGCUCAACCCCCAGCCUGCAGUGGGUACGGGCAGACUAGAGUGCGGUAGGGGAGAUUGGAAUUCCUGGUGUAGCGGUGGAAUGCGCAGAUAUCAGGAGGAACACCGAUGGCGAAGGCAGAUCUCUGGGCCGUAACUGACGCUGAGGAGCGAAAGCAUGGGGAGCGAACAGG